GAUAAAUUGGACGAUAGCAUACGGAAACUAGCGGAAAAUUCCUUAAACGCAAUGGGCCAGGUGCUGAACUCCCUUGAACGUUAAGGAAGGAAGGUCAUCGCACAAUGAACAACGAAAUGAAAGUGUGUAUUAACGAAAGACGUUCGACAACGCCUUCAACACCAUGGAGAAUUGUACUUCGUUUACCGUGGAAGCGUUGUAAUCGCCGAGGCAAUCCGCCUCAAUCGUCCAGUUAAAAUAAAUACGACGUGAGUGCUGUCGCGAUAUUUUGUAUGUUUAUAUGCUUGUUUGCUCUUUUUCAACCGUUUUCGUCCUCUAGAGCCUGAAUAUUCGUAUAGUAUUAACUAAUUUAUCAACAGUAAGCAUAUAUUAGAAUGUAAUCCUUCACGCUCUCUUUGUUCUGCUUUUCUGCGCUUCUCUUUCUUCCCUUCGUUAAUGGCUUCGUGUAACUGUUGCACAUCUGCGGGGGCGACACCCUCGCCCCUCGUUGUUUUGUAUGUGUUUGUGUUAAAAUAAAGUUGAGUCACAGUGAUACCAGCGCUCGGGUCCAUCCUCUGGGCCUAUAUAAGCGGCAGCCUGGUCCACUGUAGGCAGUUCGUCUUCAGGAAA